rnacentral:rRNA from 1 species
AAAAGCGGAGGAAAAGAAACCAACAGGGAUUGCCUCAGUAACGGCGAGUGAAGCGGCAAAAGCUCAAAUUUGAAAUCUGGCAGCCUCGCUGUCCGAGUUGUAAUUUGAAGAUUUCUCUUUGUGAGAGGCGCCUUGUCUAUGUUCCUUGGAACAGGACGUCGCAGAGGGUGAGAAUCCCGUGUGAUGAGGCCGCCGAUCCGUGUAAAGAGUCAUCGACGAGUCGAGUUGUUUGGGAAUGCAGCUCUAAGUGGGUGGUAAACUCCAUCUAAAGCUAAAUAUUGGCGAGAGACCGAUAGCGAACAAGUACAGUGAUGGAAAGAUGAAAAGAACUUUGAAAAGAGAGUGAAAAAGUACGUGAAAUUGUUGAAAGGGAAGGUUAUUAGAUCAGACUUGGCGGCGCGCCAUACCUGUCCUCUUGUAGGGCGGACACUGGCGCGUGUUUGCUGGGCCAGCAUCGAUUCGGGCGGCGGGACAUGGUCCUGUGGGAUGUGGCUGUUUUAACACAGUGUUAUAACCACGGGUCUCUGCCGCCUGCCUGGAUCGAGGACUGCGUCUGUUACAGACUAGGAUGCUGCGUAGACAGGUU